GGGAGCAGGGCUGGUGGGAGCUGCUGGGACAACUCCACGGGCAGGCUGGGGAGAGGUUUGCAGGGACCCAGAGCCCAGCCCCAGCUGCACAGCACCUGAUGCUGCACACAUAUUGGGAACAGAUAGACAAGAAACCAGUGGAAGGUCAAAGAGGAAGAUUUUAAAGAGAGAACAGGCAUCACCUAGGAGAGCCCCAGGAGGAUCUGGACAGGAGACCCCAAGAUGGACUGCAGUGUCAGAGAUGGGAGACAUUGGGAUGCCUUUCCAGCAGCUGUUGGCUAGAAAUAGUCAGAGUGAAGCAUUGCCUCUGCAGUACAUCUUUCAUCUCACAGUUGACCAUCUGUGGAAAGGAUACGGAUGAAGAUGAUGUAAGGCUUGGGAAUAUGUAGAGUACCUCAAAACAAGCAAACAAUGGAACUAAUAACCUUAUAUACACGAGGUCUUAAAUGCCAUAUACAAUGGAUCAUAACCACCAACUUUUUACAAGCACCCUACCUUUUUAGUUUUAGUCUUUAUGAAACCAUGCAAACUCCAGUAAAGUAAAAAGUAAUUAUGCUGUGGAGAAAAAUGGCUGUGUACUUUUCAUAUGCAAGACAUGUAAUGAUAACUCGAUUCCUUUAUUUGCCAAUGCAAAUAAGUUAUAAUUUUAAAGAGCACUACCAGCACAAUAACAAUAUGUUGUAAGGCAGUUCAUCAAAGCAGCUUAGCUAAAACAUUAUAAUUAGGUUUUGAUAGCUGGUGGUCAAGACCAAAUCCAC
rnacentral:lncRNA from 1 species